GAUGAACGCUGGCGGCGUGCCUAAUACAUGCAAGUCGAGCGAGCGGCGGACGGGUGAGUAAUGUCUGGGAAACUGCCUGAUGGAGGGGGAUAACUACUGGAAACGGUAGCUAAUCCCGCAUACCAUCAGAUGUACCCAGAUGGGAUUAGCUAGUAGGUGGGGUAACGGCUCACCUAGGCGACUAUCCCUAGCUGGUCUGAGAGGAUGACCAGCCACACUGGAACUGAGACACGGCCCAGACUCCUACGGGAGGCAGCAGUGGGGAAUAUUGCACAAUGGGCGAAAGCCGGAUGCAGCCAUGCCGCGUGUAUGAAGAAGGCCUUCGGGUUGUAAAGGACUUUCAGCGGGGAGGCGUUACCCGCAGAAGAAGCACCGGCUAACUCCGUGCCAGCAGCCGCGGUAAUAC
rnacentral:rRNA from 1 species